rnacentral:lncRNA from 1 species
UACAACUACAAUUAUACACAAACCCUGUAUACAUUCACCACAUCACAAGGUUACAAUUUCCAUUCAUACAUUCACAUCUAUCAUUUGAAAACGUUUCUCACCCGAAAACUCAUUUGAAAUACUAAAGUAUUGAAAAUUAUAGAAACCGUUUGAAAACUGCUUCCCACACGAAAACCAUUUUCAUAAGUCCACAUUAAAACCACAAAAUU